GCCACGGUAGCUCAAUUGGUACAGCAUCGCACGUGAAAUGCGAAGGUUGUGGGUUCGGUUCCUACCUGCGGCA
rnacentral:tRNA from 1 species